rnacentral:rRNA from 1 species
CAGACGUGCAUCUCGGCAAAUCCCUGAG